GUGACAUCACCCAGUGCGCUGAACUCAGAAGAGCGAGAAGAAGAAAGUUGCUCAUUAUAAGAGGAAGGCGGGGGCGGACAGGGGACUGAAAGUGCGUAAACAGGACUAGCCUCACGACAAGACCAGGAGCUGCGCUGAUGUCUGAACUGCCGCUCACUUGGACCUCUUGGUGAAAAGGAGCAUUACGUCCUAAACAAACCCCAAGACUUGGAGGAGGACAUUAAUGGAUUCCUAUGCUUUCAUGAAUGGACAGCUACAACACAUUGGACCUACCUCACAAACCCCACAAGCCACUUCUCAUCAUACUCGCAAUACAAUAACAAAUCAUCAAGCUGGGGCAGCAAAUAACUCUUAUCAGUAUGGGACACUGCACCAUAGAGCCCAACCACCACAGACCACUCAUUUCAACUUGCACAAUGGAGCCCACACUAAUAGACAGGCAUCAAAUUGGCACACUUCUGCAGGCCCUAAUCAGGUUCUUUCUUCCCAGCAGACAGAGGAAUGGAAGAUGAACAGUCAUUGUCUUGUAGCUGCCAAUCAGCCAAACCAAUCCAAUAAUGUGUCACCAUUUUCAUGUUACAGCAUUAGUGGACUUCAGGGUUCCAGCAUGAAUUUGACAACACAGACUUCGUCCAACAGCAUUAACAAUGCUUAUGGUCAGCAACAGUUAUUAGUCAACAAGAGACAAACGGUAAAUAUACAGAAUCCCCCAAAUGGUAGAGCUCCUCAAGGCUGGUAUCAAAAUGCAAAUUGUGUCUUAAUGCAGCCUAUUCCAACUACAACUUUGUCACUUCCAUGUGAACAGGCGGUGUAUACCAACACAUUAGCAUCUGCCACCAUACACAGAGAAUCCGCUCAGUACCAGAUCCCUAGACAAAACAACACACAGAAUCAAUACAUCCCCUCUAAUCUACUGCCUCCUUACAACAGGAGUCAGAAAACCCAUUAUAACCUACCUCAAUUCAACCAAACGAAUGCCUUAAAUCUUCCUGUAACACAACAGCAACCCCUUAGGCACAAGAUGCCUCCAGACAGUGCCUACGAGUCUUCCGGUCAUCCAUCUUACUCUGCUUCAGCUUGUAGAGUCCAGCAGUUUGUCAGCAACGCCCAAGCGACUGGUCAGAAUACGCCGCCCGUGACUUCAGGUGUUUUGGAACAUCGUAACUUGAAUAUAAUUCAGUCCUUAGCCCUUAAUUUUGGAACGGUUAUGUCAAGAACACAGCCUGUUGCAAACUCAUCACUGCAGCCAAAUGUUGUACCAAAUGCCCCCUGCCUCCCUAGUGCAGGAGAUAAAAGUGGCAAAAUCCAGGCAGAUAAUCCAGUUUGUCUAAAAUCAAAAGGAAAAGUACUUGAAUUAUUGAGUGAUUCAUCUCUGCUAAGGCAAGUGCUUGAGAAAAUUCCAUCAAAGACAAACGGCACCCAGUCAUCUCUAGCAAGCAGCAGCAAGAUCGCUGAAAGGUCUGACAUGCUUGAAACUGUCAAUGUAAAUGAUGGCUCCAUUCAUAUGUCACAUGGUCAUACUGGCACCAGAGUUGUUGCUGUUGUACAACCAUUGUCACAGGAAAGUUCUCAGAUUGCUUGUCAGCAGACCUCCAACACCACAAAAGAUGACUUUUUAUAUAACCCUGAGAAAGUACUUUGUUCCCCUGUGACAGAACAUAAAGAAUCCAGUCUGUACCCAGAAAACCAAGAUCAAAUGAUGUCCAGCCAGGCUGUAGACGGAUGUUCAUCCAACGAUGGCAGUCUUUUGUCAAGUUCAGAUUUGGGGCCACCAGAAUCAAUGCAAACUUCUGACCUGAAUGUUAAUAUUACACUAGCUGGUCAAGUAAAGGCUCAUUCUCAAAUACCAGAAAGGCAAAACUCACCUGAACAGAACAGUGCGAUGGAAACACCGGCAGAAACAUUUCAGCUUUCCUCACUCCCAACAAAUGAAAUUACAUUAACACAAGCUACAUGUCUCACGCAACUAGGACGCCUUGUGGCUCUGAAGAAGUUGAAACAAUCCACAGCUGUUACAGAUGCUUUUCAAAAAAUGAUAGAGAUUUAUUGGAAUAACAGCAUUAAAGCAUUGAUCAGUAAGAUCAAAACAGGCUGCCAUGCAGAUGUCGUCAGUGAGGCUGAACAUUUUUGCAAAACACAUCUAACCCCAGAUUCUAUUAUACUGCGUCAAGUAAAGCGCUCCCAUCGGAAGUAUCUCAAAAACAUGUACGUCCUCGAAGACAACGAAGUGUAUUCAGAACCACCUUACAAGUCUUCAUGGUUAAAUGUUAAUGAGAAGUUGGAUGACAUAGACAAAGAAUUUGGCUUCCCUUUGACUAUGACCUUUCACUCUGACAUGCAAGACGGUGAAAGCCAGAGUCACCCUGAAACAACAAUUGAUAGUACCCCUGAAUCAGCUGUGAAUGAGGAGCCCAACGUCUUGUCACAAGCAGAGCCAGAAUCUGUUGACUUAAAAGAAAGUAAAGAAGAAAACUCCACUGCUGCAGAUACCUCAACUCAACCGGUGUCCCCCAACAUGUCUGAAAGUGACAUGUCCAGUGACCCACACUAUUCAUUUAAAAUUGAAGUUUUGUCUCCAGAAGAGGCCAGACUUUUCUUUGACCAAGCACAAAGUGAGACGCCGCAAAUUACGGACACAGUUGAAGAAUUAGAGUCUCAAGUCUCGAGUGUUUCUGUAGAGUGUGUGAAAGCCGAGAACACAGAUGUCACAUUAAGCGAGGCAAAUCCGAAGGACAGGACAGUCUGUCCAAUUGAACAGUUUUGCUGUGUAACAAAAUGGGUGGCAUCAAUUUUAGAAUCAGACUCUGCUUUUUCAAUUGUUUGUGAUUGCAAGGAAAAACAAAGUGAAAAAGAAGGGACUGACGGGAACCUAGAGAAAGAAGAUGAAGGAGUACAAACCAAGAUCAUCGACUUAACCGAAGAUAAUGACCAACCAUGCUCAUCAUCUGAUGAGGAAACGAAGAAUAGUACAAGCCAGUCAAGCAUUAUUCCCAAAAGUAAAACCGAAGAUGGGAAUUCCUCCAGCAGUGAUGGUGACGUCUUCAGCCAACUUGAGGAUGAUUUACUAGAACUAUUAAAUUGUACAGUAACUAUGGAGUCAGGUGCUUUGAUCAGUGAAAACAAACAAACUGAAAGCACUAAUGAAGUUGUCAUGCAGAGGUCAGACACAGAAGAAGGCUGUGGAGAAGCAAAGCAGAAAUCUGCAGGUGCAGCAGAGUCACCACAGCAAACCAAAGAACAAACACAGGUGCAGACACCUUUUAGCCGCAGCCAAGUGCAGAAGAGGCCGAGGAGUGAAGAUGACACUACGUUCAGAAAAGAAUUAAAGAAACGCAAGCUGCAUGCUAAUCACAAUACACAGCUGGAGAAAAGUGGAAAGAUGGCAGUUGCCCACACUGUAAAACUGACCCUGUUUGGCUCCACAAAAAGGUCUUAUGGUAUUUCAAGCAAUGAGAAAAAGCUCCCAUUUAUAUCUUUACACAGUGCAAGAGAGAGACCUCCAGAAGUUUUGUCUGUGAAUGUGAGCUCCUUUAAGAAGAAGUCAAGUGACCAACUCCACAGGGGGGGAUAUUCAGUCAAACAAUGGCUUCAUGAAAGCUGGAGGAGAAGUUUUUUACAAAUUAAACACAGCCACAGAAACGUACUGAAAACAAAGACACAUCCUGAUGCAUCUUCAUCCAGAGUGUGCCUCAAGAAAGAGAAGUGGACAGCUUCACCUCAGAAGAGAGUCGGCAAGGGAAAAGUUACAUCCCAGAGUCUGAAUAAGCAGAGGCUUUGUCAAAAGAAGACAAAAAAGGAUGUCACACGUGAAGAGCCCGAGGAUGAUAAGGGAAGCAACACUAAAGACCAUGCCAUGCCCGCCCAGUUGAGAUUCAGCAUGUUAUCUGAGACAUUCAACUUUAAAGAGGGAACCAACAGGCAGAAGGAAACCACCUGUCCUGUUUCAGACAAGCCAGCCCUUAUUAAAGAAAAGAAUCAGAGCCGCCACAAAGCUGUCAUGAAGCCAAAGGGUACAUGGUGUCCAAACGAGAGAAAGCGUCACCUUCCAUCUCCUGUUCCAAAGACCACCGUCACCUUCCAGGAGUUUAAGAAGAGAUAUAAAGAGAAGACACAGGCAUCCACCGAUGAAUAAUGUUGCAGACUUUUUUUACAAAUAUUUUUUUUGACCUCAGAGAUUGUUGUUACAGAUAAAUAUAUAUUUUUGUACUUUUUUGUUCUUUAUAUUGUCAGUUUUGUCAAGGCCAAUUGUUUGUCAGGCCAAUUGCAUUGUACGUUAACGCUGCUGGGACAGGCUUAUAGUCACAUGUCUUCUUUGAUCAACAACACCACUGUGUGGUUAUCUGCAAGUAUGUAUCAUUCACAUUCAACAACAAUUUUGUGCAGAUUGUGGAAGGAGGUGUUGUGGUUUAAAUGGUAAAUGUUGGACAUGCACACUGGAUUUGUUUAAGAUCUGCAUAAAUCUGUUGUGAAGUGUGAUGUAUUUCAGUAGAAUAUAAACAGUGUAUUCGGAUGGUCAAUACUAGAUUGUAACCUUUUAGAUUAAACUUUAAAGGUUAUGAAACUUUCUAUGUCAGGUUAUUUUUAUGAGAUUAUUGGGAACACUAUUAUUUUCCAUUGUCUUUGUUUAAAUUUCUACUGCACUUGACCCUGCCCACUGUGAUUUUUGCCUUUUUUUUCCCCAAACACUUUUUUUGCAGUGAAGUUGUGGUGGAGAGCCCACAGAAGGAUGUCAUUUAAUUCAAGUUACAGCAAACAAGUUUGAAAAGCACUUAUAAGCUAAACACUUGUUCUAUGUUCUAAAACUGCAGUCUUUCUGAUGUUCAACAAGUUAAGUCAACAUUACAUAUGAAUUGUUUUAGGCUUUUUAGAAGGAUGUUUCCAUCGAUUAGAAGUGAUAUAAAAAGUUUUUAUUCUCCACGCCUCUGUUCCGGCCAAACUUAGUUAAACAAAGUUAACUCAUUGUGGGGCAGGGCUUUGAAAGUUAGUAAGAAUAUCGAGGGAAAAAAAUAAAGAUUCUAAAAAGACUCUGAAAUGAUCA
ensembl:lncRNA uncharacterized LOC114437656